UGGGGAAUAUUGCGCAAUGGGCGAAAGCCUGACGCGGCAACGCCGCGUGAGUGAUGAAGGCCUUCGGGUCGUAAAGCUCUGUCGGAGGGAACGAAUGCUCUUGAGGUUAACAGCCUCGGGAGGUGACGGUACCCUCAAAGGAAGCACCGGCUAACUCUGUGCCAGCAGCCGCGGUAAUACAGAGGGUGCAAGCGUUGUUCGGAAUCAUUGGGCGUAAAGGGCGUGUAGGCGGUAUGUUAAGUCAUGUGUGAAAUCCCUCGGCUCAACCGGGGGAACGACGCAUGAAACUAGCAAGCUAGAGUACCAAAGAGGGUGGUGGAAUUCCCGGUGUAGCGGUGAAAUGACGUAGAUAUCGGGAGGAACACCUGUGGCGAAGGCGGCCACCUGGUUGGAUACUGACGCUGAGACGCGAAAGCG
rnacentral:rRNA from 1 species